rnacentral:rRNA from 1 species
UACGUAGGGUGCAAGCGUUGUCCGGAAUCACUGGGCUUAAAGGGUGCGUAGGCGGCUUGUCGCGUCGGCUGUGAAAACCCGUGGCUCAACCAUGUGGUCUGCAGUCGAUACGGGCAGGCUAGAAUUCGGUAGGGGAGACUGGAAUUCCUGGUGUAGCGGUGAAAUGCGCAGAUAUCAGGAGGAACACCGGUGGCGAAGGCGGGUCUCUGGGCCGAUAUUGACGCUGAGGAGCGAAAGCGUGGGGAGCGAACAGG